UACGUAGGCAGCGAGCGUUGUUCGGAAUUACUGGGCGUAAAGAGUGUGUAGGCGGUGCUCUAAGUUCGGUGUGAAAUCUCCUGGCUCAACUGGGAGGGUGCGCCGGAAACUGGAGUGCUUGAGCGUGGGAGAGGAAAGCGGAAUUCCUGGUGUAGCGGUGAAAUGCGUAGAUAUCAGGAAGAACACCCGUGGCUAAGGCGGCUCUCUAGUACGGUACUGACGCUGAGACGCGAAAGCGUGGGGAGCGAACAGG
rnacentral:rRNA from 1 species